UACGGAGGGGGCAAGCGUUGUUCGGAUUUACUGGGCGUAAAGGGCGCGUAGGCGGUUUUGUAAGUUACUUGUGAAAUCUAUGGGCUUAACCCAUAACUGCCAAGUAAUACUGCGAAACUCGAGUGCAGAAGGGGCAACUGGAAUUCUUGGUGUAGCGGUGAAAUGCGUAGAUAUCAAGAGGAACACCUGAGGCGAAGGCGGGUUGCUGGGCUGACACUGACGCUGAGGCGCGAAAGCUAGGGGAGCAAACAGG
rnacentral:rRNA from 1 species